UAUUUCUGUCAAUCUAUUCUAAUUUGAUUUGCAUCAGAUUUGGAAAAUCCCAUUAGAGCGGAUCAAAUUAAUUCCAGAAACCGACUCGUUCUCUUCCAAUUUCAUUACUCUCUCCUGUCCAACUAAUCUCUAGUUUUCAAAUCCAGGAACCCUAGUUCCUCAAAUCGAUUGAGUUCUACUGCUCCAUUGUUGACACCGUGCAGUAGUUCAUCUAGAGAAAUGGAUUUUGACGAUUUUUGCUCGAUUUUGGCUGUUGCAACAGUUGAAGGGGUUCAGCAUCACAUACGAUUUUUAGGACCAUUUCGCCGUCACCGGGGCUUGGUUUAUGGAAAUCGAAGAAUAUGAUGACUUGCUGUGGAUCAAAUUUGUUACAUUUAUAUGUGAUAGAUGGAAGUCAAUGUAUUUUUCUAUUUCAAUAAUAUUUCUAUGUAAUGUAAACUCUACAAUAAUUAUUUCAUGAUUAAUGCAAUAACAAGCUGUAUAUAAUGCAGACUCUUUAGUA